rnacentral:rRNA from 1 species
CAGCCGCCACGGGAAUACGAAGGGGGCUAGCGUUGCUCGGAAUUACUGGGCGUAAAGGGAGCGUAGGCGGACAUUUAAGUCAGGGGUGAAAUCCCAGAGCUCAACUCUGGAACUGCCUUUGAUACUGGGUGUCUUGAGUGUGAUAGAGGUAUGUGGAACUCCGAGUGUAGAGGUGAAAUUCGUAGAUAUUCGGAAGAACACCAGUGGCGAAGGCGACAUACUGGAUCAUUACUGACGCUGAGGUACGAAAGCAUGGGGAGCAAACAGGAUUAGAUACCCCGGUAGUCCCUGUCUCUUAUAC